CUGAGAACCUGAAAAAACCUGAAAUAUACAACUCUUUCAUCACUCUAUCUGCCUUAUAGCUAAAAAAAUUCAAUUUAAAAUUCAUUCAAAUAGUUUUUGAGAAAAAUACUCCAGAAAAAAAACUGCCUCAAAUAGAAUACAAAUGUAUCGAUAAGCACAUAUUUUCAGAUGAUUGUUCGUAUUUGUCAUAGUCAUCUCAAACAUCGCUGUAUUUGUAAAGAGAACAUUUUUUCCAUUCAUUCAUUCUACCGUUCUCUUCUUCAUCUGUCGAUAAUAUCAAGUUAUAGUUCGCACACAAUCUCUCUCUUUCGUAACUGAGCUACCUGUCUGUGUUUUUCGUAUAAAGUUAUUGCUUGCUCAAAAAAAAAA